GACGUAUGGGGCCAGCGUUGUUCGGAAUUACUUGGUGUAAAGGGUUCGUAGGCGGUGUGGCAAGUUGGGAGUGAAAUCUCUGGGCUCAACCCAGAGGCUGCUUCCAAAACUGCCAUGCUUGAGUGUGGGAGAGGCGCGUGGAAUUGCAGGUGUAGCGGUGAAAGGCGUAGAUAUCUGCAGGAACACCGGUGGCGAAAGCGGCGCGCUGGACCACAACUGACGCUGAGGCACGAAAGCUAGGGGAGCAAACAGG
rnacentral:rRNA from 1 species